rnacentral:rRNA from 1 species
AGAGUUUGAUCCUGGCUCAGAGCGAACGCUGGCGGCAGGCUUAACACAUGCAAGUCGAGCGGGCGUAGCAAUACGUCAGCGGCAGACGGGUGAGUAACGCGUGGGAACAUACCUUUUGGUUCGGAACAACACAGGGAAACUUGUGCUAAUACCGGAUAAGCCCUUACGGGGAAAGAUUUAUCGCCGAAAGAUUGGCCCGCGUCUGAUUAGCUAGUUGGUGAGGUAACGGCUCACCAAGGCGACGAUCAGUAGCUGGUCUGAGAGGAUGAUCAGCCACAUUGGGACUGAGACACGGCCCAAACUCCUACGGGAGGCAGCAGUGGGGAAUAUUGGACAAUGGGCGCAAGCCUGAUCCAGCCAUGCCGCGUGAGUGAUGAAGGCCCUAGGGUUGUAAAGCUCUUUUGUGCGGGAAGAUAAUGACGGUACCGCAAGAAUAAGCCCCGGCUAACUUCGUGCCAGCAGCCGCGGUAAUACGAAGGGGGCUAGCGUUGCUCGGAAUCACUGGGCGUAAAGGGUGCGUAGGCGGGUCUUUAAGUCAGGGGUGAAAUCCUGGAGCUCAACUCCAGAACUGCCUUUGAUACUGAGGAUCUUGAGUUCGGGAGAGGUGAGUGGGACUGCGAGUGUAGAGGUGAAAUUCGUAGAUAUUCGCAAGAACACCAGUGGCGAAGGCGGCUCACUGGCCCGAUACUGACGCUGAGGCACGAAAGCGUGGGGAGCAAACAGGAUUAGAUACCCUGGUAGUCCACGCUGUAAACGAUGAAUGCCAGCCGUUAGUGGGUUUACUCACUAGUGGCGCAGCUAACGCUUUAAGCAUUCCGCCUGGGGAGUACGGUCGCAAGAUUAAAACUCAAAGGAAUUGACGG